GCUUGACUGAACAUGGCCUUACUUUUCGCUUGAGACAUUUGGCGGCGCAGUCCGAGUAAGGCAUUGCAAAGCAACGAAAUAAAGGCAUCAAGGGUUCAAUGGAACGUGCCAAGUAAGAUGCGCCAAGCAAAGUGUUACAAUCAAGCAACGUCAAGUAGGACCACACACAGCACUAUGGUCAUAAUGACACAGCAGACAACAACCUUCGCUACAUUGUAUACAUGAUCGGGCUAUGAUAUACCCUUGUCUUAUAAUAAACUAACUCAACGCUCAUGGAGAAGUUCCAAUCUCUUCUAUUUCUGCUAGCAAAGAAAUGAGUGAACAGGAUAUUGGUAUGGUCUGUCUUGCGAUGCCUGUUGUAGCUGCUGUUGUCAGUUUUCCACGGUGGGCUAAUAAGUGGUCAAAAUCGGCGCUUUCGUAUUCUCGCGAGCCCGCAAAAACCAGCGGUUAUCCAUCCAAAAACACUCGGAAUUAAAAAUGGCGGCAAAGGCUGUUCGAAGGAGUCUUGUCAAAAUUAUUGGAUUUAGAAAGGAAAACAACUAAUAGUGGAAGAUAAAAAACAAAGCAGCAAAAAAUUGAGCUUCUAUGACAAGCUUGAGUCUCUCUGAAAAAAUAAUUUUGUCGGGGUUCGAGAAGAGCGACGCAUAUUUUCUUACCAAUCUGUUGUCAAGGCUGCACAAGAGAAGUUGCAAUGUGAUUGUUUCUCUAGGAACGAAAAUUGAGGCCCAAUGGGACAGAUCCCCGAGGAAGGAGUCUCUGGAAGAUUUCCUUAGAAGGAUAAAGUCUGUGAGCAUUUCAAUUUUUUUUUAUUAUUAUUCUAUCGUUUUUUAAAGCAUUUAUGCUCUGUGGAUUCUAGCUUCAAUUUUUACCAAAAGGUCCAUGGUGAUAUUUGUAAUAGAAUACCUGUUAUUUAUUAAAUAAUAUGUCUUACAUGAUGUUUUUUUUGCUAAUUGAUCUACAUGUAACUGUUUUCCAAACAUCGGUACUGUAUAUUUCAAACCCCUUAACAUAUUUUAAUAACAACCUUGUACUAUACAAUUCGAGCAUCACUCCCCUUUGAACAAUUUAUAAAAUGCUAAAUUCCUAUCUCAAGCAUCUCAUUAUGACUGGGCAAGAAAGUAAUUUUUAUCUUGCCUUUAUCUUUUCUCUAAAAAUAUAUUCCUAAGCAAAAAUAGUAGUAUUAGAAUUGUCUUUUAAAUCCACUUACUCUUUUGCAGCUUGAAGCAGUCAUAAAAAUCCUUGAUACAUGAGUCCACCUUUUUCAUGAAAUCCUUCCAAGCUACUUGGCUUGUACUGGUGUAUUUCAUUAACAACUGUACAAGGGUUUAGAAUACCUGUUAUUGUCUGAGUGUAAUCUAUGAUUUCUCUAUUUUUAUUAUUCUGGAUUGCUUUUACUUAAAAAAGCUUUAUUUUUACUUGCUAUUCCAAGUCCUUGUUAGCCGUCUUUCUCUUCUAUGCCUUAUCUUGUGAAUCCCAUAAAAGGUGAUAACUCUAGUUCAUGAUACCCAAAGAACUAUAUCAACCAAAAUAUAUUCAACUAUAUCAAUUAAAAAAUUAUAUGCCCCUAGAUUUUCCGAGUAUUUAUUAAUUAAGAGUUGUGAGACUUGAUUGAUAGUUAUUGGUGCCCUAUACAGUGAGUACAGGAGAGCUUGCUUUAAUUUUACAGCAGCAAAACUUUAUUAUUGAGUUAUUUAUCAAUAAAAGAAGAGUUAGAAACGAAACUUCUAUCACUAAGAGCAAUAGAAAGCAAGGUAAAAACAAACUUAGUGUAAACUAAUCCUCUUUUGAAUCCUGGGGGUUUUUGUUUACCCGACUCUCAAAAUCAUAAGAAGGAACCACAAAUUACCAAAAAGUGAUAGAGGAUGGCAUAGCCACAGGUGAACAUAGUUUUCCUUACAUGUCCUAAAAUCAUUUUUGGUUUGUUAUGAACAAACACAUCAUUUACAUAACCAUUGAUGCAAUGUCAAAGUAUUUUGUGCAGCUGUCCUUACUGUCAGACUAGGCUAAGACUAAGGACCGCUGUGGUAGAGACCAUAGUCUAGUGGAAAUAGAAACAGAAUCUUUGAGACUGAGGAGGUGUUAAAGUGCUUCAAGAAACUGAUGACAAUUUUUUAGGAUGUUCCUGAUAACGAAUCUUUUUAGCUAAAGAGGGGGAGGUCAAGCAUGCCUACCUGCCAAGUUCCCCAUACAGUAGGUCACUCAAGAAAUAGGAGCAAUGUAAAGGGCACCCUUUUUCCAUAUGUGAAGGCACUAAUACAAAUAAAAUAGAGGUUGGACCUGUCACAUUCCAAAAGUUAAAUUAAAACCUAAGGAAAAACCUACAAGCAAGUGUCAUCCAGCCUUCAGAUGAUAUUCUACAACUACAUUCUGUGAAGGCUCCAGCCCUAAGAGCAAACUCAAUCCAGGAAUAUCGUUUGUUUUGAAUUAGUUGUGCUGAUUUAGGAUGGAAGAGUUAACAAGAACAUAGCUUAAGUAAACAAAUUUCCCUCUGUUCAGGUUUUAGCGGGUGAAGUACAAAAAAAACACUCUCAAAUAA